GCGCAGGCAGUUGUUGAUGUCAACAACUCUUAAAGGACCAGUUCCUAUUGCUAUUAUCCGCUGGACAAAAUUCCUUCUUCAUGAGACUCCAGAGGUUUCCUUUGAAUUUCUGCCAGUUGAUUGUACUUAAAAGAGCUUAUAAUCUCAAUUGGAGGGGCCAGAUUUGUUUCUUUCUGAUAGAAUUGCUGGACGAUGGGCUCGAGGUGGAAAAGGGGCUACUAAUCUUUCUCCCCUCCCUCAAGGAAGGAGAAGUUCAAUAUUUCAUCUCCACUAUCUAUGCGAACUUGUAGAGUACAGAUAUGCAGGAAGGAAAAAUAACCACCCAUGAAAGACAACUGCUGAGGGAAAAUGUGUUUUGUUGAUCUCCUGCUCAAAAAAAGCAAUCCAUAUGGAAUCAAGAACUUCCAUUUCAAGUUAGUAAUUGACCAAAAUUUUGAGUUACACUAGCAGCACUAAGAAUAAUUUGAUUGGAGUUCACACUGAUGUUCCUGCGCCUGAUAUGGGAACAAAUGCACAGGAUCUUGGUGGAUCCCUCGGUAGAGAUGCAGCAAGAGGGAGGGGAGUACUCUUUGCAACUAAAGUGUUGCUUAAUGAAUAUGGAAAGAGUAUCGCUAGGCAAUGAUUUGUUGUGCAGGGAUUUGGUAAUGUCGGAUCCUGGGCUGCUCAACUUAUCAGUGAACAAGGGGAAAAGGUAAUUGGCGUAAGUAAUAUAACAAGAGCCAUAAAGCACGGUAAGGGAAUUAACGUACCAAACCUAUGGAAGCAUGUCAGGGAAAACCAUGGAGUGGUGCUGACAGUGUUGAUCCCAAUUCUAUUUUGCUUGAAGACUGUGAUAUUCUUAUUCCAGCAGCCCUCAAAGGUGUUAUCAAUAGGGAUAAUGCAGAUAGUAAAGCCAAAUUUAUAAUCGACGCAGCUAAUCAUCGUAUUGAUCCAGAAGCAGAUGAGGUUAGUAUGCGAGGUCAAAAGGCAGUGUCUCGGAGCAAAAUAACUUGUGCAGUGAAGCAACUUAACUAACCGUGGCUUUAAUUUACAAAUAUUAACAAAGAAGGGAGUUGUUAUACUCCCAGACAUAUAUGCAAAUUCCGGAGGUGUUACAGUGACUUCAAGUGGGUUCAGGAGUUUGCACUCUCUUCAACGCGGUGAACUCUAAUUCAAAGUCUAUGGGACUUGUCAGAUCAGAACAUAUUGGACUUGAAGCCUCCUCCUUCGAAGAUUGCUCUUUUGGAGAAAAGAUUCAGGACUACCAUGAUUCACUUGCAACUAAAGGAUUAAGCAGUUUGCUUAUACUCUUUUAUCACCCAUGGAUAUGCCCUAGAGGGUAGCCAUUGCUGAGAUGAACAGGUGUGGAACUGGAAAGGCUUCUACUUAGCUCUUUGUUUGGCGUGGAUCCUCUGAGUUCUACUAUUGGACCUAGAAUAGUUAUGCUAUUGCACCCUUCGGUUCUUGAUGCUUUGUCAGUUGUAAGUGACUAACCUAGAAAGGCUUGGAGUCUCUCUUUAAUAAUAAGAAAGUUUGAGACUUAUAUUUAAUGGUGAAUUUAUCCUUGUUGAUGUUAGUAGAGAUUUACAAGUUUCUUGGUAAAUGAGUAUGGUUUGAGGGGCUAUUGCAACUGUUGUCAUGGUGACACUUGUAUUGAGGUGGCUUAUAUGUCCAUGUAUUUGUCAUUUA